UACGUAGGGGGCAAGCGUUGAUCGGAAUGACUGGGCGUAAAGGGUGUGUAGGUGGUUUGAUAAGUUAGAUGUGUAAUACCCAGGGCUUAACUCGGGUGCUGCAUCUAAAACUGUUAGACUUGAGUACUGGAGAGGAUAGUGGAAUUCCUAGUGUAGCGGUGGAAUGCGUAGAUAUCACGCAGAACCCCGAUUGCGAAGGCAGCAUACCGGUGCACAACUGACGCUCAGGCACGAAAGCGUGGGUAUUGAACAGG
rnacentral:rRNA from 1 species